rnacentral:rRNA from 1 species
CCUACGGGGGGCAGCAGUGGGGAAUAUUGCACAAUGGGGGAAACCCUGAUGCAGCGACGCCGCGUGAGUGAAGAAGUAUUUCGGUAUGUAAAGCUCUAUCAGCAGGGAAGAAAAUGACGGUACCUGAUUAAGAAGCCCCGGCUAACUACGUGCCAGCAGCCGCGGUAAUACGGAGGGGGCAAGCGUUAUCCGGAUUUCCUGGGUGGAAAGGGAGCGUAGACGGCAGCACAAGUCUGGAUUGAAAUGCCGGGGCUUAACCCCGGAACUGCUUUGGAAACUGUGCAGCUAGAGUGCAGGAGAGGUAAGUGGAAUUCCUAGGGUAGCGGUGAAAUGCGUAGAUAGUAGGAGGAACACCAGUGGCGAAGGCGGCUUACUGGACUGUAACUGACGUUGAGGCUCGAAAGCGUGGGGAGCAAACAGGAUUAGAUACCCUAGUAGUC